ACGGCUCGGCUUCCCCGCCCGCGGCCGCCAUGAUGGGGAGGUCGGCGCUGCUCCUCCGCGCCUGGUUGGGGAGGGGGCUUUCGGUUAGGUUUCUGGCGUCCUCCCCGCCUACUCCUUGAAGUCUCCUGUCACUGCAUACGUUUGUCUGGGGCCGGAACCAUGAAAGCGACUGGAUGAACAAAACGUGGUCGCCGCAGAGAAGGGGUGCAUGAAGCAUAAAAUGGUUGCUGAUCUGAAAAGAGUGUCAUCUCUCGCCCCCAGCCCGAGGAAUUAGGACCUCCGGAGUGUGUCAGGACGAUCGGAAAGGCAUUCACUCUCGCACUUUUCUCCGCUUUGUCGGGCCAUUUGCACCCUCACCCUCUCUUCGCAGUGACUUUUCAAGCCCUACCCAGAUAUUUAAAAGCAAAAGUUUUUAUACAAAGCAAGAUAAUAAAAUUUAUUCACUCAUUCGUUCAGCAAACAUUUCUAGGGAACCCUUUAUGUGCCGAAUGUUGUUCUGGGUGCGCUUAAGAUACACCUAUUAUCAACGCAAAAUACUAAAAAUAAAUAAAU
rnacentral:lncRNA from 1 species